rnacentral:rRNA from 1 species
UACAGAGGGGGCAAGCGUUAUUCGGAAUUACUGGGCGUAAAGCGCGCGUAGGCGGCUUUGUAAGUUAGAGGUGAAAGCCCGGGGCUCAACUCCGGAAUUGCCUUUAAGACUGCAUCGCUAGAAUCCGGGAGAGGUGAGUGGAAUUCCGAGUGUAGAGGUGAAAUUCGUAGAUAUUCGGAAGAACACCAGUGGCGAAGGCGGCUCACUGGACCGGUAUUGACGCUGAGGUGCGAAAGCGUGGGGAGCAAACAGG